rnacentral:rRNA from 1 species
UACGUAGGGUGCAAGCGUUAAUCGGAAUUACUGGGCGUAAAGCGUGCGCAGGCGGUUCGCUAAGACAGAUGUGAAAUCCCCGGGCUUAACCUGGGAACUGCAUUUGUGACUGGCGGGCUAGAGUAUGGCAGAGGGAGGUAGAAUUCCACGUGUAGCGGUGAAAUGCGUAGAUAUGUGGAGGAAUACCGAUGGCGAAGGCAGCCUCCUGGGCCAACACUGACGCUCAUGCACGAAAGCGUGGGGAGCAAACAGG